UUCCCUCCAUUUCCCCCCUUUGUUAUCCAUUCCUCUUUUUCUUGUUCCUUUGUACAACAUUCAUCUUUGGUUGCUGAGGAAAAAAAAAAUCUGAACUUUGAGUGUUAAGUACUUAGAGACGUUGUUUUCGGGUCCUGCUGAAUUGGGCUAAUGGUUCGGAUUUGUUUUCAGUGUUAUGUUCUCGAUUUACCAUAUAAGCUUCAACAAGCGUUUGAAUUUCAAUGUCGGGUGUUAGUUUUUUUGGGAAGAGUAAUGAAUGAUCCGAUGAUAUGGAUCCAGCAAUGACUUGUGUAAUUGUAUCUCCUGAUGUACUUUGCUUGAUGAGGAUUUGUUGCAAUUGCUCUGCUUGAUGGUUGUGUUCAGACUGUACCAUUUCCAAGGAGAAUCAAUGGGGAGUGCAUCUUCCAUGCUGACUCAAUACGAUAUCGAAGAAGUUCAAGAGCACUGCGACCAUCUAUUUUCCCAGCAAGAAAUAGUGUCACUCUAUGAGAGAUUUUGCCAACUUGAUCGGAACGCAAAGGGUUUCAUCUCAGCUGAUGAAUUCUUAUCAGUGCCGGAGUUCGCAAUGAAUCCACUCUCUCAGAGGCUGCUUAAGAUGGUGGAUGGCCUGAAUUUCAAGGACUUUGUAGCAUUCUUGUCCGCUUUUAGUUCCAAAGCUAGUGCUCAACAGAAAAUCGAGUUAAUCUUCAAGGUGUACGAUUCAGACUGUAAUGGAAAAGUCUCUUUCAAUGACAUAAUGGAAGUGCUGCGUGAUUUGUCUGGUCCAUUCAUGUCAAAUGACCAAAGAGAGAUUGACCAUCCCUUUGCUAUAGGACUUUGUAAGGCAAUGAAUUGCUUGAAUCAUUUGUUCUCUCAACUCAAUUGCAGCAAGUCCUGGUCCAAGUCUUGAAGGAAGCAGGUUACACUAAGGAAUCCUAUCUAUCGAUAGAUGACUUCUUCAAGGUUUUCGGAAGUUGUGGCUUGAAAAUGGAGGUUGAAGUGCCAGUAGACUGAGAUGCAAUCGUUGAGUUCAAGAUUGAGCAUAUAUGGAAAGAUCUUCAUGCAAGUCGAGUACACCUCAAUAUUAUAUGGUCUUCUCCUGGCAGAUCUUCCCCUUGUAAUUGAUUAAAAGUAGGUAAUAAUCAAACCACGUAUAUGGACGUAAAACUUAAAGGCUCAUGUAAAUGGUUUCCUCCCUUUCUUUCUUGUGCUGUUGCCCUCAAGCAUGAAAGCACUCAACACUUAUUGUGAAAGGUAAAAGUUUUGCUGGUGCUGCAACUUCUGUCUAUUGGACAUGUUCCUAUUGAGCAUUCGAACUAUUGACUUUUAUUCUCGAAAUUAAUUAACACGUAAAAUUUA